rnacentral:tRNA from 1 species
GGAGGGGUGGCUGAGCGGUCGAAAGCGACGGUCUUGAAAACCGUUAGGCCCCGUUAGGGGUCUCGAGGGUUCGAAUCCCUCCCCCUCCG